rnacentral:rRNA from 1 species
UACGGAGGAUGCAAGCGUUAUCCGGAAUGAUUGGGCGUAAAGCGUCCGCAGGUGGCUUUGUAAGUCUGCUGUUAAAGAGUGAGGCUCAACCUCAUAAGAGCAGUGGAAACUACAAGGCUAGAGUACGUUCGGGGCAGAGGGAAUUCCUGGUGUAGCGGUGAAAUGCGUAGAGAUCAGGAGGAACACCUGUGGUGUAGACGGCUUUCUGGACCGUGACUGACGCUGAGGUACGAAAGCGUGGGGAGCAAACAGG